GAUGAACGCUGGCGGCAGGCUUAACACAUGCAAGUCGAACGGGUGCAGCAAUGCAUCAGUGGCAGACGGGUGAGUAACACGUGGGAACCUUCCUAUGGGUACGGAACAACUCAGGGAAACUUGAGCUAAUACCGUAUACGUCCGUGAGGAGAAAGAUUUAUCGCCAUUAGACGGGCCCGCGUCGGAUUAGCUAGUUGGUGGGGUAACGGCCUACCAAGGCGACGAUCCGUAGCUUAUCUUAGAGGAUGAUCAGCCACACCGGGACUGAGACACGGCCCAGACUCCUACGGGAGGCAGCAGUGGGGAAUCUUGGACAAUGGGCGCAAGCCUGAUCCAGCCAUGCCGCGUGAGUGAAGAAGGUCUUCGGAUUGUAAAGCUCUUUUGCCAGGGACGAUAAUGACGGUACCUGGAGAAUAAGCCCCGGCAAACUUCGUGCCAGCCGCCGCGGUAAUAC
rnacentral:rRNA from 1 species